rnacentral:rRNA from 1 species
UAAAUGACUCUCGGCAACGGAUAUCUCGGCUCUUGCAUCGAUGAAGAACGUAGCGAAAUGCGAUACUUGGUGUGAAUUGCAGAAUCCCGUGAACCAUCGAGUCUUUGAACGCAAGUUGCGCCUGAAGCCAUUAGGCUGAAGGCACGUCUGCCUGGGC